AAUGGACGAAAGUCUGAUCCAGCGACGCCGCGUGAAGGACGAAGGUUUUCGGAUCGUAAACUUCUUUUGCAGGGGACGAAAGCCCGCAAGGGUUUGACGGUACUCUGCGAAUAAGCCACGGCUAACUACGUGCCAGCAGCCGCGGUAAUACGUAGGUGGCGAGCGUUACUCGGAAUUACUAGGCGUAAAGCGCGUGUAGGCGGGAGCUUAAGUCCGCUGUGAAAUCUCAUGGCCUAACCAUGAGCGGCCGGCGGAUACUGGGUUUCUUGAAUUCGGUAGAGGUAACUGGAAUUCCAGGUGUAGCGGUGAAAUGCGUAGAUAUCUGGAAGAACGCCAAAGGCGAAGGCAGGUUACUGGGCCGCAAUUGACGCUGAGACGCGAAGGCUAGGGGAGCAAA
rnacentral:rRNA from 1 species